UACAGAGGGGGCAAGCGUUGUCCGGAUUUAUUGGGCGUAAAGAGCUCGUAGGCGGCUCGUUGCGUCGGCUGUGAAAACCCGCAGCUCAACUGUGGGCCUGCAGCCGAUACGGGCGGGCUAGGAUUCGGUAGGGGAGACUGGAAUUCCUGGUGUAGCGGUGAAAUGCGCAGAUAUCAGGAGGAACACCGAUGGCGAAGGCAAUCCCCUGGCCUGCACUGACGCUCAUGCACGAAAGCGUGGGGAGCAAACAGG
rnacentral:rRNA from 1 species